GCGAGGGGACGUUCCCGGCCUGUGUGGGGGGCCCCUGUGGCCCUGGACAUCGAAUGACAGAUCCUCCCUGUAAUGGCGGAUGACGGGCGAGUGCUUUCAAGGCUCCAGUUCCUGAUUUAUUUAAGUAAAGCAGCAA